AGGGUGAUUAUUACUCCACAGACUGGAGUUCUCCUUCAAAAACGAGUGAAGACACAGGUAUGUAUGUGCCAUGUCUUCCAGUCUGCUUUCUCAAAAUGUAUCUUAAUAUCAAAAAUAUAUUUUCACUCGCUAGUCUGGUGGAGAUAAACAAAAUGCGUUUGGAUCUAGCUUGCGCCGUAGACCUCCAGCAGAAACACGGUUUCGCCGUAGGCUAUCAUGCAUAUUGUUAAACCACAGAUCAACGAGCGAAAACCACUUGCAAAGUGUUAAUGCAUAGCAAUCUUCUCAAUCAUUUCAAGUUUCAGGUCAAGGUUCAGGCACGGCCGAAAAUGAUGAUGGUUAUGAAAAAUAUCUUAUUGGAAUUAUAGUAUUAGCAAUUCUACUGGUCAGUUCAUUCGUUGUUACUGCUUAUUUUAUCUAUCAAAAUCGUCGACUCAAAUUAUCAAACACUAAAGCAAACGUGGUAACCACUAAUGAUGAAAUUCAUUCAAGACACAUUUAUGAUAUUCCUUUCAACAAUUGUGAACAAGUAGAUGAUGAACAGUCGACGUAUACAGCUCUCAAAAGACCUGGUCCUGAGGAAGUAAAUGAUGAUCAUUUAUAUGGUCAUCUAAUUAAUUAAGUACUGCAAAAUGGAUACGCAAAUCAGGGAGAAACUUGGAUUUAAUCAUGUCUUAUUAAUCCAUAGUUAAAGGACAUUGUUAGUAAACAUUUAUUUUGACUCAUUUGAAAGAACUUUUAAAAAAUUAAUAAAUACAUUUUACGGGUUUUUCAUAGCUUAAUUCCUUAAAAAUAUUGAUUGAAAACACUCGGCUGUCCGCCAUCUUGGAUUAUUCAGGAUUUGAGUGUUGGUGAGGUCACGCAGACUUUAACUUGACAGCCAGUCUGCCAGUGAUUAAUAUGAACUAUGCAAACACUAGAACUUGGUUGCUAUUUUAAAUUUCGAAUUGAAAAGGCUAACCCAUCUUUGACGUCAUCAAAACCAUAGUUAAUAAUGAGGUUAAGAAUUAAUCCAAGAUGGCGGACAGCUAAUUGUUGUAAGUCAAAAUAUUCCAAUACUUAAGUUGGAUAUAAA